rnacentral:lncRNA from 1 species
UUCGAUUCCUUUCCCUUUCCGUUUCCCACAAAUGUUUUUUCUUACAUUUCUUUUUUGUCACUUUUCUGGUGGGAAUCAGAUUCUACCAAGGUACUUCCUCCGUUUACGUUAUUAUUUUACUCCUCUUUUUUUUUUUUUUUUUUUUUUUUUUUUUUUUUUUUUUUUUGGAUUUUCUGCUGGACGUAACUUCCUCAAUUUAUAUUUUUCACUUGGGAUUUGUGGCGCAAAACUCCUUCUCUGUCUUUAUUGGGUUCAAAAUAUUUUAAAACCAAAGAAUAUUUUUGAACUAAGAAUUUAAGGUUAACUAUAUUUUAGUUACACAUUUCAGGUUUAAGGUCACGAAGUUUCUUUUCGUUUACAUUGCACCAUGGAGUUUUGAGAUUGUGUCAACUUCUAUGUUUGUUUAGAUGUCUAAUUAAUUAGUUUUUGUUUUUGUCAGAUUAACCUAUAUAAGUGUUCCUCGUUCUCAUUAUGCAUCAAUUUAAUGAAGAAUCAAAGAAUCAAUCAGAUUGAUUACAUAAAUUAGUAAAAUUUCGAUACUUUCUGAAUUAAUAUAAGAAAAUUAAAACUUCGUUUCCUAUUUUGUAUAUUAUCCCAAACAUGAAAGGUGUUAAAUUUUAUUAGCUAAAACUUUUAUUUGGUUAU